UAGGAAACUGCCCUUCACAGAUGGGCUCUGUACAGCAGCCAGUCCUGUGACGUGUCAUUAGGCAUAUAUCUAUACUUUUCUUCUCUCUUGCAUUCAAGGAAAGGAACGGUUGGACAGAAAAAUGAACUAUGAAUUAAUGCCAGUUUACAGCGGGAGUUAUUUGUCUUAUUUUUCCCUGUGCCAGCUAGUGCCACAUGGUGUCCCGAGACAAAGACAAGACGGCAGACACUCUCUGCAGCUGGUGUCUCCCAUCCCCUAGCCCAAGACAACAAAAAACAGUCACAAACAAACCCCCCAAAAGCUGGAUCAUCUGCAUUGAGCAGUACUGCCCUGCUCUGCUUGGGUUUGAUUCCAUGCUGUGCCACCUAGCUCUGCUCAGAAGGAAAAUGUAUCAGUUCUAUAAUUGGACAAGGUCAUACCUAAUUAUUGUGGAUCUGUGAACAACUGUUUUAGACUCAAGAAGCCAUUCUUUUCUAAGACUGCAGAAGUCAGACUCAAGUUUUGCCAAAAACUUGGUAGGUGUGUUUUGCAUCUCACCAUUCAAAUCAAGCAUCACAGCAAACAGAAGCCCUUCUAUGGAGAGGUAGCCAAAGACUAACUGUAUAAAUCCUACUUUUGGGGAAUAUCAUUAGAAGGCAGCACACUUCCAUGCUACCCUUUUGUAGAGAACACACAGAAUGUUAAAACCAUUCUUUUAAUUCCAUUGGUCAUCUGUUGAAGUCCUCACACUUCUUUCAAGAUGAAAAAUGUCUCUUCUUUAUGAUGUUCAUUCCCUUUAGAAUGUGGCUACACAAAUAUCACACUUACUAAGAAGUUAGAGAAGCAAAAGGAAUGGGUAAGAAAUAACUGAGUACAUUCAUCAACAAAAACUUUGACGAGCACAAUACUUGUGGUAAUAAGUGAAGUCUAAAUAAAUAUAUGUAUAUUGCGAUAUAAUGAUGAUAUAGAAUAUUUUUAUAUGGGUAUAUACAUAUAUUUUACUAAACACACAGAAUUUGAAUUUUUCAUUGUUAUAUCAGACAUUAAACCAUUUGAUCAUUAGACUGACAGAUGUUGAAGUCCAUUUGCACAGAGCCAUUCUUCCUAAGAUACUUUGCAUGUUGAAUUAGGAAUUUGUGCCUGAAUUCCAGGUGAAUUACAAACAGGUGUUAUUUUGAGACAAGAUUCCACCAUUUCCUCUAAUAUUUGCAUUUAAGUCUUGAGUCUUUAAACAGAUGCUUCAGUGUAUUUACUUGUACUUGAUAUACAAACCAAUAAAAUAUAUCU